rnacentral:rRNA from 1 species
AUUGAACGCUGGCGGCACGCCUAACACAUGCAAGUCGAGCGGUAACAUGCUUAGUAGCAAUACUAAGUGAUGACGAGCGGCGGACGGGUGAGGAACACGUAGGAACCUGCCCAAGAGAGGGGGAUAACUAAGGGAAACUUUGGCUAAUACCGCGUAAUCUCGCAAGAGGAAAGCUGCCCGCAAGGGUGGCGCUAAAGGAGGGGCCUGCGUCCGAUUAGCUAGUUGGUAAGGUAAAAGCUUACCAAGGCGAUGAUCGGUAACUGGUCUUAGAGGACGACCAGUCACACUGGGACUGAGACACGGCCCAGACUCCUACGGGAGGCAGCAGUGGGGAAUCUUGGACAAUGGGGCAACCCUGAUCCAGCGAUGCCGCGUGAGUGAAGAAGGCCUUCGGGUCGUAAAGCUCUUUAGGCUGGGAAGAAGGUUGGUAGUUUAAGAGAUAAUCAACUUGACUGUACCGGCAGAAUAAGCACCGGCAAACUCUGUGCCAGCCGCCGCAGUAA